rnacentral:lncRNA from 1 species
AGGGAAAGCAUGCGCAAAGGUCAGGAAGUAAGAAAGAGGAUGUUGUAUUUGCAUGGUGGGCGUGACCGCUAGGAGAGACCUUUCUAGCAACAAACGUUAGUUGAGUGCCACUACGUGCUUCGGUAAUGGUGAGCCAGCCCACAGAAUGGGUUGUGCCACUCUCCAGUACUUGCUCUUCCAAUGGUAGACCUUUAUUUCUCUGUCCUCCUGCUUCUUCCUCAUACAGCUCGUACAUCGACUGGCUCCCUUCCUUGGGUUUAUUCCAUGUGUUAGCGGAAUACCAAUAACAUUGGAAGAAGCAAGAAAGAUGGACACGAGUUUCACUUUCAAGAGGUUGCCCAAGAACAAGCAGUUGGUUGAGGAGAUGGCUCCAUAGAGGAAACAACAAUUCACUCAAAGCAGCUCAAGGAAAUGGGGCGGGUCGUUGAAAAGAUACGGCCCUUGUGGGAACCUAGGAAAGGUGGAACGGCCACGUCUCAAGUGGAGAGGAACUGAGGCAAGUCGGGGAGGUAAGUGCUCUUGCUCCGGCUCGUUCUCGCUGCACCUGUUCUGUUCUAUUGCCGACCCAUCUGUCUGCCUCACUGUCGUUGCUUCAGCUCGCACGGAGGCCCGUGCAGUGACGCCACCUGCCCCACAUGAAUGCCCUCGGCGCUCCUCACCUCUGGGCACAGCAGGACACGUCUUCACCGCCAGCACCUACAACCCUUUGUUGCAGGGCAGAUCAACGGUACUAGGGAGUCCACGCCCCUGGGAGCAGGGAGCCGUCCUCAACCAAUGACCAGGAGUUAGCUCCCUCUCCUCUUGGCCAAGAUGACUCCGAGGCACACAGCUGAGUUCCCCAGCAAGAUGAAACUCCAAUUGCCCCCUCUGGAAGUGUGUUUGACUGGCUUGCUCCCUCCCCUUCUCUUCCCCGUUCCCUGACCAGUGCUUGUUGGGAUUGCCUCUCGAGUAAACUCAAGGGUCUACCUCUGCAGAAAUACCUUAAAACAGCCCAUAAUGGCCCUACCCCAGGGCUUACAUGACCAUGCAGUUUGAGGACCCCCAGCCCACUGGCACCUUCAUUCUGUCUCACCUCGUGCAAAUUCCAACGAGAGAGAUUGACCUUCUUUUUUAGUGAGAGUUAAGCUCAUCCUUUUAAGUCAGGCUGCAUUGAGAGAUGGCCGGGACGCCAUGGAUAGCCACCCCCGUCGGCUAACACCCCCGAUCCUGUCAUCUCUAGCAGGAGGGGACAGUCACAAGGUCGGUUGCUCCGUCCGCAGCUCACACUGUGCAGAACGUACCUUGAGUCUCAUCUGGGGCCAUUUGGCUUUCAGGUAACUAUCACCCAGGUGGUUGCAUGGGAAAAUCAACAGGAAAGGCUGUUUAUUGGACAUCAAAUAAUUAUUUUCAAACAGUGCUUUGAUAGGUUAAGCACAAAAGAAUCGGAAACAUAUGGAUUAAAUUUCCAUUGAAAUGCACAUUUGGGUUUGAAAAUUAACAGAAUGUGUGCUUGGGAAGGGAUUCCCCCCACUUUUCGUUUCUUUUCUUUUUUUUCUUUUCUUUUCUUUUCUUCUUCUUCUUCUUCUUUUUUUUUUUUUUUUGCUAAACCAGAUUAUUUGCAAAAUAAGUCAGGAAUUUUUCACAGCUCAAGCACCCUCCCUUCUACGCCCUGCCUCCCUUCCCUUUAGCUUUUCCCUCACAGAGUUAAUUAAUAAAAGCAACAUUUAUCAAAUAUGACA